CAUAGCUCAGUUGGUAGAGCAUUCGCCUAGACAGCGAAAAAAAAGACCCCAGUUCGAUCCCGGGUG
rnacentral:tRNA from 1 species